AGUGAACGCUGGCGGUAGGCCUAACACAUGCAAGUCGAACGGCAGCACAGUAAGAGCUUGCUCUUACGGGUGGCGAGUGGCGGACGGGUGAGGAAUACAUCGGAAUCUACUUUUUCGUGGGGGAUAACGUAGGGAAACUUACGCUAAUACCGCAUACGACCUACGGGUGAAAGCAGGGGAUCUUCGGACCUUGCGCGAUUGAAUGAGCCGAUGUCGGAUUAGCUAGUUGGCGGGGUAAAGGCCCACCAAGGCGACGAUCCGUAGCUGGUCUGAGAGGAUGAUCAGCCGCACUGGAACUGAGACACGGUCCAGACUCCUACGGGAGGCAGCAGUGGGGAAUAUUGGACAAUGGGCGCAAGCCUGAUCCAGCCAUACCGCGUGGGUGAAGAAGGCCUUCGGGUUGUAAAGCCCUUUUGUUGGGAAAGAAAAGCAGCAGGUUAAUACCCCGCUGUUCUGACGGUACCCAGAGAAUAAGCACCGGCUAACUUCGUG
rnacentral:rRNA from 1 species